UGGGGAAUUUUGGACAAUGGGGGAAACCCUGAUCCAGCCAUCCCGCGUGUGCGAUGAAGGCCUUCGGGUUGUAAAGCACUUUUGGCAGGAAAGAAACGUCAUGGGUUAAUACCCCGUGAAACUGACGGUACCUGCAGAAUAAGCACCGGCUAACUACGUGCCAGCAGCCGCGGUAAUACGUAGGGUGCAAGCGUUAAUCGGAAUUACUGGGCGUAAAGCGUGCGCAGGCGGUUCGGAAAGAAAGAUGUGAAAUCCCAGAGCUCAACUUUGGAACUGCAUUUUUAACUACCGGGCUAGAGUGUGUCAGAGGGAGGUGGAAUUCCGCGUGUAGCAGUGAAAUGCGUAGAUAUGCGGAGGAACACCGAUGGCGAAGGCAGCCGCCUGGGAAAACACUGACGCUCAUGCACGAAAGCGUGGGGAGCAAACAGG
rnacentral:rRNA from 1 species